rnacentral:rRNA from 1 species
AGUGAACGCUGGCGGUAGGCCUAACACAUGCAAGUCGAACGGCAGCACGGUAAGAGCUUGCUCUUACGGUUGGCGAGUGGCGGACGGGUGAGGAAUACAUCGGAAUCUACUUUUUCGUGGGGGAUAACGUAGGGAAACUUACGCUAAUACCGCAUACGACCUACGGGUGAAAGCAGUGGAUCUUCGGACCUUUCGCGAUUGAAUGAGCCGAUGUCGGAUUAGCUAGUUGGCGGGGUAAAGGCCCACCAAGGCGACGAUCCGUAGCUGGUCUGAGAGGAUGAUCAGCCACACUGGAACUGAGACACGGUCCAGACUCCUACGGGAGGCAGCAGUGGGGAAUAUUGGACAAUGGGCGCAAGCCUGAUCCAGCCAUACCGCGUGGGUGAAGAAGGCCUUCGGGUUGUAAAGCCCUUUUGUUGGGAAAGAAAAGCAGCAGGUUAAUACCCCGCUGUUCUGACGGUACCCAAAGAAUAAGCACCGGCUAACUUCGUG